rnacentral:rRNA from 1 species
AUUGAACGCUGGCGGCAGUCCUAACCCCUGCACGUCGAACGAGUGGCGGCCGGGUGAGUAAUGUCUGGGAACCUGCCUGAUGGAGGGGGAUAACUACUGGCAACGGUAGCUAAUACCGCCUACCAUCGGAUGUGCCCAUAUGGGAUUAGCUAGUAGGUGGGUUAAAGGCUCACCUAGGCGACGAUCCCUAGCUGGUCUGAGAGGAUGAUCAGCCACACGGGGAAUGAGACACGGCCCAGACUCCUACGGGAGGCAGCAGUGGGGAAGUUUGGACAAUGGGGGAAACCCUGAUCCAGCCAUCCCGAGGGUAUGAUGAAGGCCUUCGGGUUGUAAAGUACUUUUGGCAGAGAAGCGGUAUCUGAAGAAUAAGCACCGGCGAACUACGUGCCAGCAGCCGCGGUAAUUC